rnacentral:rRNA from 1 species
UACGUAGGGGGCAAGCGUUGUUCGGAAUUAUUGGGCGUAAAGGGCUCGUAGGCGGUUUGUCGCGUCGGGAGUGAAAACCUCGGGCUUAACUCGGGGCUUGCUUUCGAUACGGGCAGACUGGAGGUAUGCAGGGGAGAACGGAAUUCCUGGUGUAGCGGUGAAAUGCGCAGAUAUCAGGAGGAACACCGGUGGCGAAGGCGGUUCUCUGGGCAUUACCUGACGCUGAGGAGCGAAAGUGUGGGGAGCGAACAGG